AAGGGCGCACGGUGGAUGCCUUGGCACUAGGAGCCGAUGAAGGACGGGACUAACACCGAUAUGCUUUGGGGAGCUGUAAGUAAGCUAUGAUCCAGAGAUUUCCGAAUGGGGAACCCAGCAUCUUUUAUAGGAUGUUACGUCUGCGUGAAUACAU
rnacentral:sRNA from 1 species